CAGUCGCCGCGGGAAUACGUAGGGUCCGAGCGUUAAUCGGAAUUACUGGGCGUAAAGCGUGCGUAGGCGGUUCGUUAAGUCUGUUGUGAAAGCCCCGGGCUCAACCUGGGAAUGGCAAUGGAUACUGGCGAGCUAGAGUGUGUCAGAGGAUGGUGGAAUUCCCGGUGUAGCGGUGAAAUGCGUAGAGAUCGGGAGGAACAUCAGUGGCGAAGGCGGCCAUCUGGGACAACACUGACGCUGAGGCACGAAAGCGUGGGGAGCAAACAGGAUUAGAUACCCGUGUAGUCCCUGUCUCUUAUAC
rnacentral:rRNA from 1 species